rnacentral:rRNA from 1 species
GCAUCGAUGAAGAACGUAGCGAAAUGCGAUACUUGGUGUGAAUUGCAGAAUCCCGUGAACCAUCGAGUCUUUGAACGCAAGUUGCGCCCGAGGCCUUUCGGUUGAGGGCACGCCUGCCUGGGCGUCACGC